rnacentral:lncRNA from 1 species
AUCCUUAAAAUAAUUAAUGCUCUCUUUUUUCCACCUCAAAACACCAUUUUGUUAACUAUUUUAGUUUUAGUUUUUUUAUCAUAGGUUUUUUUUAAUAAAAUAAUUGAUCUAAUCAGUUUGUUUUUUUUAGUAUCCUUAAUAAAAAUCUAUUUACAAAAUAAACUUUACUCACUAAUUUUUUUAAGAAAAUUAAUCUAACUAUGUUCCUUGUAGUAUUCCUAAUUUAAACCUACUAAAAAAUAAACUAUUUAUCAAUUUAUUUUUAAAAAAGAUAGAAUAUUUAUUUAUCUUAUGUGUAAUAUUUGAUGGAAAAAAUUUUGGAAUCCCUAAAUUAAAGGGCAAAUUUGCAUUUUUGCCACAAAAUGAGCUCCAAUUUGAAUCUGAAACAUUAAUUUCAAAUUCAGGGAAGUCAGUGUUUGCUUCUGACACUACAGAGAUGUGACUGUAUUUAUAAAAAACUUAUGGUAAGUUUAGUGAAAUUUACCCUUUUCUUUUUCAUUCACAAAUCUCCCCAUAAAAGGUUGGUUUGUUGCUAAUAUGACAAAAUAUACACUAUACAGCAGCUAUUGAUUAUAAUUUCCAACAUAAACGGCAGAGUCAACUUGGCCUGUGUUAUAGUAUAAAAUCCGAAUUAGAUCCGAAAAAAUCCGGAAUUUAUUAACAAAAAUUCGAAUCUGAAAAUUCAUAUAUUUGAAUUUGGAUUGAUUUGUAUUUUCAUGUGUUUUUCACCUAUUUAUAGGGGUAUUUCCACGGAUCGUAUUGAUUCGGUUUUAAGUAAAAUCAAAUCCCGAACCAAACCCUACAAUUUUUGAAUUUUCAAACCAAUCUAAUCCUUCUAAACUUGGAAUCAGUAAUCCGAACCUAAAAAAUAACUGUUGGAUUUUGCUAAUAAAUUAAUUAAAUUUUCCACUAAACAAUCAGUAUAUAUAAGUUGACAUAAUAAACAAUUCAUGAUAAAUUUUUCUACUAAUACUCUAUAGUGCUAGAUUCUAAGAUGUUACAUAACCGUAGAUGUCCCUAAAUUAAGAUAUCCAUAAAUAAAAGAAAUUAAAAAGCAACAACAAGAUUAUUAGGGUUAGAUUUUUUGUAAAGAUAAUAUACUAGGCUCCAUUUAAGAAAACUUAUACUUAAACCAGCUAACUAAAAAGUCUUUUCUUAAAAGGAUUUAUUAUAUUUGGUCGCAUUUACAACGUACGUAUAAUAUAAAAUAGCCCAACUCCUGAUUAGUCAAAAAAGUCUAUUUUUAAAAUUUUUAAAAUUUAGACUUUUGUAUUCUUAUAGAGGUACAUUUUUGUUUCGUUUAUAUUUUUUAUUGUUGAAUCGUAAGAGUUAAAAAAAAUUGAAUUCAAAAUCUUUUAUUUUAAGAUUCCAAAAUCAAAACGCUUAUCUAUGAAAUAUUUUCUCAUAUUGCAAAUUGAUAUGUUCUCAUUUUAUAUCUACUAAAUCCUCACAAAUUGAUAUUUUAUCAACUUCAAAAUUUGUGUUUGAGGAAAUUCUCACAAUGCAUAUUUGGGAUGUAUUAUUCUUUUCUUUCUUUCUGAUAAAUAUAUUGAUAACUUUUCACCAGUUAUUGACAUUGAUAUUGAUAUUUUCUCAAUGUAUAUUUUAAAUUACGUCAUAUUUUUUUUUUAAUUUUUUGAAUGACUUUGUAAUACGGGGGGGGGGGGGGGGGGGGGGGGGGGGGGUGAUAUUCCAUAACUUCUCAAUUUGUUUUCGAGAUCUUGAAUAAUUUAUAAUUUCUCAUUUUUUAUUGAAAUAUGGACAACUUGAUGUUUUUUAUUGUGGCAUAUUUUUGAUGUAAAAAAAAUCGAUUAUCAAUUAAUGAUACUUUCUCAUCAUUGUUAGAAUUGAUAUUGAUAAUUUCAAGUUCACAAAAAAAUUAUUUUAGAUAGAGUUUUGAAUGGAGGACUUUCUAGAAUGCAAGUCAGACUUUAAUUUUUUAUGUAUCUAUAAGUUUGAUACAUUUGGAUUGGAAUCAAAAAUACUAUUUUUGGUAUUUAUGGUUGAAUUGUUUAUCAAAUGAGGAAGUUUCACCAGAUAUAAGGUGAUAAUUCAUUGUAUUAAAUAUAUAAAAAAUUAUAUUAAUAUUUUUAUUUCAGUUUGGAAUUGGAACCAGUCACACAAAUUCAUAAACUGAACCACCUAUAUCAAUUUUUUAAGAUUUUAAAACCCAAAUCGAACCGACUUUUAAAAAGCGAACCAAACUUAUUGAUUCGGACCGAACUGGACUGAUUUUUUGGUUCCACUGAAUUUUUGGGACAUACCUAACUUUUCAUAGAGCCAAUAGUGUCAUUCAUUACACAGAAAAAAGAACUUCCAUUUGAUUUCAACAUGGGAACUUUGCUUUGUUUGGUUUAAUUUAAAAAAAAAUUAAUUGUUGAAUAAUCAAAAUUGAUAAUUUUUCGACCUCCUUGCUUAACCAAAGAAAUUUUAACAAUAUAAUGUUUUUUUUAUUCGAAUUUGGAAAAAAAAGUGCACUAAGUCUAAAAAUAUUUUUUGGUUUGAUAAUUAGAUAAUUUUUUCUUCGUAGAUUUGUGUUUAUAUUAAAAAAAAUAAUAUUUAUAUUCUUCUCAUCACGAGAUAAUCAACAAAGUAAAAAAAUUUUGAUCACCGGUGAAAACAAAAUCAAAAAAAAUGAAAAAAAACAAAAAAUUACAGUUAACUAAUAAAUCUUUUUGAAAGUUAAACCAAAUAAUCUGUUUUUUUGAACGCUUCAGAAAUUCACUUGCAUAUUUGUUUUCCAAUAUCUUGAGAUUUUUGUUUUAAAACCUUUUCUUUGUCCCCUAUUUUUUAUUUUGGAUUUAUUCCAUUGAACUCUUGGUAUGAAAGGGACAAGACGACCUAUUUUUCUUCUAGUAAUUUCUCCGUUGUUUUCUGCACCGACUGAUUUAUAAGGCUAGAAAUCUCCUUACCGGCUUUGACGUCUUCUCUCCCCUUAAUUGCCACUAUCUUACGACGUGAUAGUUGCACGGAUUUUGAAUAUCCGAAGGCAAAAUGGGUUUUGAUUUACAAUACUCGGAGGGGGGUGCAUUAUUUCCUUCUGUUCUUCCAUAAACGUUAAGUUUGAGAUAGAGUUUUUUGUCACAGUCUUGUUCAAUAGAAAACCUUUUAACCUAAGAUCCACUAGACUAGCAGGUCUUACUUUCAAUAUAAUAUCAAAAAAAAAAGACCAUUUGCAUCAAAUGGGGAUGUAGCCGCAGAUGGUAGAGCGCUCUUUCGCUUAGCAUGCGAGAGGUACGGAGAUCGAUACCCCCGCCAUCUACAAAGGAUUUUUGACAUUUGCGCUUAUUUCACCAAUUAGAUUUUUUUAUAUUGUAUUAUGCUAAAUUUAUUUAAUAUUUAAGUACUUCUUAAUAAGGAUGUUUGGUACAGUCUCUUAGAAAAUAAAAAAAAAUUAACAAUUAUAGAAAAAUGAACUGUCCAUUAGCUUUAGAGAAUUUUUUUUUUUAUCAAGAAAACAAUAUACAUAAUUUUUUAAGUUCUCAAAAAAUCGCAUUCAUGUAGGCCUUAAUCAAAUGAAUUUGUAUCUAUACAUUUUUUUUUUUUUCAAAAAUGGAUUAUGUUUUUUCACUCUAGUUUUAUUAAAUGUCCUUUACGUUUUAUUUGUCUAUGAUUCAAGUUGUAAUCUUACCAUAUCAAAAACGCUCCUCCAUUCACUACACUUUACUUAUUUCUUCUCCUUUGUUGUAGGUUAAUUCAGAACAUUUACACAAAGUUGCACAAGUAAGAACAAAUAUAUGAAAUGUUAAAACGAUGAAAAUCAAUUAUUUUAUUUCAAAUCUUGUUUGUAGUUUAGAUGAAAAUUUUAUAUUUUCAAAUUCCUCUCAAAAAAAAUUUAAAAAAAUAAAAUAAAAUUUUGAUUAAAUAGGAAAUGGCGAAAAAAAUAAAAAAAACCAAAAUAGCUAAAAAAGGCCAAUUUUUUCCAAUACUCAAAAAUCAAGUAGCACGAAAAAAAAAAUUCAAAAAUAUUACCCCAAAAACUAGACCUAGGACCAUUGAGGUAAUUUUUUCCUUAAAAAAAAUAAUUCUUUUAAACGUUUUAUACUAAAUUUAUUGAGAAAAUUUACACGAGUGCAUGAAAACAUACAUGAACAUCAUACUGACAAACAUUAAUUAUUACAUUCCAUAAAAUUAUGUUACAUUGGAAAACUGUCCAAUGCCAAAUUUAAGGUCUCUUCUUCUGUUUUUUUUUCCAGGGAAAUAGGAAAUUAUACCUUCUCCAGAACUGAAUCAUACUCGUGGACAAUGGACUUUUUCUCUCUCAUCAUUUUCCCCACCGGAAAGGAAAAUCACACUCAGGAAAAUCGGUUCCUCUUUCCUCCACAGCGCGGACUUCAUGCUCCCACUCGACUCGUCCAAAACCACAUACAAUAGAACAUCGCCGAGCUAAACACGAUCGCGAACCGCGUGAUCCACGCGCCGUAGGCCCGGUGAGGGAAAAGAGCGGCGAGCGAGAGCUGGAAGACGAACCCGACGUGAUAGCCGAGUACAAGGACCAGGAUCGCGAGUUCAGCGCUUCCCGCCUAGCGACUUCUCGUUGGGGGCAGAUUCGCGAACGCCUCCAGCAGUGCUCGAGCGAGAGGGAGGCCGAGUAGGCGAAGACGAUGAAGGCCGCCAUGGGGUAGUCGGCGUGAGUGCACGCGAGGUUAGAUGACGCGGCGCAGUUGCAGAGGCGGAGGAGGUGGGUGGCUGCGGGUAAGAAGUGGCGUUGUGUCGGGGUACGGGCUUGUUUGGUCUAGGGUAAUCCAGGAAACAUGGUGUGGAAAUUGGUAAGAAUUAGAGCUGAGUGUUGUGAAUGUGUGAAUUUGAUAUAUAAAUAUGAAGGGGUUGUGAAGUGAAAUAUAUGAGAAACUGCGAUUGAUAUAACAAGUAUUUUCAAUCCGAAGACCGAAGAUGUUUAGAACUACACGGUAGUGGUAGAAAUGGGUCGCCAUUAUCUCCGAUAAAAUGCUUAAAAUAAAAAUUGUUAUUAAAAAAGAUUUUAAAAUAAGUCACAUAUUUAAAAUUGAAUUCUUACAAAAAAGAAAGAGUUUAUUUACUACUAAAAAAUAAAAAUUAGGAGAUAAAAUAAUACCUCCUACACUUGGGGAGAGAGACAUAUUCACCCAAAGAAUAUAGGGUGUAGAUGGGGGACGUCAUUGGACCUCUUUACUUUUGAAUUUUUCCACCCUAUUCUAUCUAAGAAGUUAAAAUAAAGAGUGAGUUAGAGAUUCUCUAAAAGCAUCUUCACAAUAAGUGUAAUAUCCUAACUCCUCAUAAUAGCUUUUAAUAUUUUUUAUACUUUUAUGAUCUUCAUAUUUUUUUUAAGUAAUAAUAAUUUUUGGGUAUUUUUUUAAAUAACUUUUUGGACAAAUUUUAAGACACACACGCAAAAAAACACUAUUAUUUUCUAAAUUUUUUCUUAAAACUUCGAAUUGUUUCUUGGUUAUUAUAGAGGUGGGAUAUAUAGUCUUAGUCAACACACUACUAUUUUUGCUAAACAUGAACAAGGGGAACUCACCAAGGUAUGAAAAGGGGGCCAAGUGUAAUUUGCUCUAGUACUCCUCCAGGCUAGUAUUGGCCUUGUUCUUGGUAUUUCUAUAGGGCAGUGAGAGAUGGGGAAGUUAUUAUGGAGAGCAAAGGACAACACCUUCAAUUUGUUUUUCUUUCUGCCCAAACCACAACAUGAACGCACAACACACCACAUCUAUGAGAUAUUUGAACGAUAAAGAGAAAUUAUUAAGGUGUUGAUCAGUUAUAAUAUGAGGUUAGGACGUGAAAUCAAAACAGUUAGCUAAAUUCAACCAGAUGAAAAUAUAAUAUGUUGUUUAUGGCUGACAGAUCAGAUAUCUAAUGAUCCCGAUUCCGAUUUAAGGUAAUCAGGAAAUAUACAAUAUAUUUUCUAACUCCAAAGUAUUCUAUAAAAUAUUCAAAUUUUGUAUUUCUCUUGAGCAUGUGUGCUAUCUAUUGACUUCAUGAUAUUUAUUGGAAAUCAUGAUAGGGUGAUUUUCUUAAUAUGAGAUAAAAUGCUAUGGUAUGGAUUGAUACAUUACCGAGGGACCUGGCUAAUAGCUUGACCAACAGUUUCAAAAAAAGCCAAAGAGCUAGUGAUGCGGGUGGGGUGAGCUGACCACCAGUGAUGCACGAAGAAAGACCGAGAUGAGGUCCUACAUAAUUGAUGAUUCGUUACGCUCUUCUAAAUUAUCGUUGAGCUAUUAUUAAAUUGAGCAUAUCCUCGUAUAUUAUAUAAGUUUUUGAUAAUUUAUUUUUUAGGGCAGGACAUAGAUGGGUAGUACGAAAUGAGUUGAUAAAAGAUUUAAAAUUUUUAAUAUUUUGUAUUAAAUUUGUUAGGAGACAUUGUAAAAAAAUAUUUGGAGAUGAUUAAAUUUGAGAAACAUAACGCUCUGAUCUUUAUAUAUAAGAACACGAUUGACGAUUAUUAAUGGCCCAUUGUGAUUAAGAGAGAAAAAUAGGAUGGAUCGUUAUAAAUUUGGUUAUAUCACGACCCAACCCAUUUAUAUAUGUGGGGUUCACUUUUAACAAACGUUACCCUAAUGGACGACCAGUGAGCUUCACUCACUAAAGGUACUACUCAACAGUUUAGAAAAUUUCUACAUUUUAUAAUACUUGAACACAAAUAAAAUAUUCGAAAGCCUGAUAACGUAACCAAAACUGAAGUGUAAUAUAUAUAAAAGUGUACAAAAUACAUUCAUCUUGCAUUGUAAACAUUUCAACUACUGUCUUGCCACAAGUUAUAAACAAUCGGUUUCAAAAAAACAUACAAGUUCAAAUGAUAACAUCAUUUAUUGUACAUAAAUAUGACAACAAAAAUGGUAAGGUCAUCUGUCUUCAGUAGCGCUCCACCUUAUUAUCUGGGAAAUUAUUACGUUUACAAAUACGUCUUAAACAUUAGGUUAGUGUGAGUCAAGGUUAUUAUAAUCCAAAUUAUGAGCCCAUAAAAAUUAUAAAUCAAGAAAUUCAUCAACAUGAAAUAGUUUUACUUUGUCAAGAAUUUCUAUCACAAUCGUUGAAUCAUCUAGGUCCAUUUAUCUUGAUUUUAAAUCAAGAUUUCAAAACUAUAUUUGUUUGACAUUUGCAAUACAUUAUCAGCUUCAACGAACACCAGUAAGUAGAGAUCGACCCUAACAUUUGCAAGAUCCUCUGGUUAUGAUCCCACCCUUAUUACCAAUUUUUGAAAUCCGAAACCGGUGAGCGAAACAAAAAAAUGAUCGGGUCACCGGGUCAACCGUAGGGCAACCGUUAUCGAACUAUGACGUCAUAAAUAUUAUAUUAUAUAUACAUUUAUAUUUUAAACAAUGAACAUCAAGCAACCAAAAUGUAAGAAAAAAAAUUAAAAAUAUUACGGUAGAAUACUUGAAAAAUUGAAUCAGGCACCCAAAUUGCAAAAACUUUUGUAGUCGUAGGGUGAGGAGAUGGAAUUUUGCAAGGGGUCUCUCCCCCUCGUGCUAUGAUAUUCCUACCCUCGCUAUGAAUCCAUCAUAUCCCUAGGCUAUCCUAACC